AUUGAACGCUGGCGGCAGGCCUAACACCUGCAAGUCGAACGAGUGGCGGACGGGUGAGUAAUGUCUGGGAAACUGCCUGAUGGAGGGGGAUAACUACUGGAAACGGUAGCUAAUACCGCAUACCAUCAGAUGUGCCCAGAUGGGAUUAGCUAGUAGGUGGGGUAAUGGCUCACCUAGGCGACGAUCCCUAGCUGGUCUGAGAGGAUGACCAGCAACACUGGAACUGAGACACGGUCCAGACUCCGACGGGAGGCAGCAGUGGGAAAUAUGGCACAAUGGGGGCAAGCCUGAUGCAGCCAGGCCGCGUGUGUGAAGAAGGCCUUCGGGUUGUAAAGCACUUUCAGCGAGGAGGCGUUACUCGAAGAAGAAGCACCGGCUAACUCCGUGCCAGCAGCCGCGGUAAUUC
rnacentral:rRNA from 1 species